GACGAACGCUGGCGGCGUGCUUAACACAUGCAAGUCGAACGGAAAGGCCCUGCUUUUGUGGGGUGCUCGAGUGGCGAACGGGUGAGUAACACGUGAGUAACCUGCCCUUGACUUUGGGAUAACUUCAGGAAACUGGGGCUAAUACCGGAUAGGAGCUCCUGCUGCAUGGUGGGGGUUGGAAAGUUUCGGCGGUUGGGGAUGGACUCGCGGCUUAUCAGCUUGUUGGUGGGGUAGUGGCUUACCAAGGCUUUGACGGGUAGCCGGCCUGAGAGGGUGACCGGCGACAUUGGGAAUGAGAGACGGCCCAGACGCCUACGGGAGGCAGCAGUGGGGAAGAUUGCGCAAUGGGCGGAAGCCUGAGGCAGCAACGCCGCGUGAGGGAUGAAGGCCUUCGGGUUGGAAACCGCUUUCGCCUGUGACGAAGCGUGAGGGACGGUAAUGGGUAAAGAAGCACCGGCUAACUACGUG
rnacentral:rRNA from 1 species